CUGGAAAUGUAUUCGAGGUUGAAGCUGGCUCUUUCGGGAGUAUUGUGCUCACCUUGAUUCCAAUCCAUCUACACCUGUGCACAUAUUGUAGUCUUUGGGAUGGGGUAAAACUUGUCCUGAACUCUACGUAUUUUUUACAUAUACUCUAUUAUAUGUUUAGAAUGUUAUUAUUUGCAAUAAAAAACGCAAUUUAAAAA
rnacentral:misc_RNA from 1 species